GGGGAUGUAGCUCAGCUGGUAGAGUGCUUGCUUUGCAUGUGUAAGGCUCUGGGUUCAAUCCCUGGCACCACCA
rnacentral:tRNA from 1 species